rnacentral:piRNA from 1 species
GCCUAAGCCUCUACUAAGGUUUUGCCUUCC